rnacentral:rRNA from 1 species
AUACGGAGGGGACAAGCGUUAUUCGGAAUCACUGGGCGUAAAAGACGCGUAGGCGGGUUAUUAAGUCGGGUGUGAAAUCCAAUGGCUCAACCAUUGAACUGCAUUCGAAACUGAUAACCUAGAGUAUGGAAGGGGCAGGUGGAAUUAGUGGUGUAGGGGUAAAAUCCGUAGAUAUCACUAGGAAUACCGAAAGCGAAGGCGACCUGCUGGGACAUUACUGGCGCUGAGGCGUGAAAGCGUGGGGAGCAAACAGGAUUAGAAACCCUAGUAGUCC